GCCGACGUAGCUCAAUUGGCAGAGCAGCUGAUUUGUAAUCAGCAGGUUACCAGUUCAAGUCUGGUCGUCGGCUCCA
rnacentral:tRNA from 1 species